GACGAACGCUGGCGGCGUGCUUAACACAUGCAAGUCGAACGGAAAGGCCCUGCCUUUGUGGGGUGCUCGAGUGGCGAACGGGUGAGUAACACGUGAGUAACCUGCCCUUGACCUUGGGAUAACUUCAGGAAACUGGGGCUAAUACCGGAUAGGAGCUCCUGCUGCAUGGUAGGGGUUGGAAAGUUUCGGCGGUUGGGGAUGGACUCGCGGCUUAUCAGCUUGGUGGUGGGGUAGUGGCUUACCAAGGCUUUGACGGGUAGCCGGCCUGAGAGGGUGACCGGACACAUUGGGACUGAGAUGCGGCCCAGACUCCUACGGGAGGCAACGGUGGAGAAUAUUGCACAAUGGGCGGAAGCCUGAUGCAGCAAAGCCGCGUGCGGGAUGACGGCCUUCGGGUUGUGAACCGAUUUCGCCUGUGACGAGGCGUGAGUGACAGUAAUGGGUAAAGAAGCACCGGCUAACUACGUG
rnacentral:rRNA from 1 species